rnacentral:rRNA from 1 species
GACGAACGCUGGCGGCGUGCUUAACACAUGCAAGUCGAACGAUGAAGCCUAGCUUGCUAGGUGGAUUAGUGGCGAACGGGUGAGUAAUACGUGAGUAACCUACCUUUAACUCUGGGAUAAGUCCGGGAAACUGGGUCUAAUACCGGAUACGACCAAUCUCCGCAUGGGGUGUUGGUGGAAAGCGUUAUGUAGUGGUUAUAGAUGGGCCCACGGCCUAUCAGCUUGUUGGGGGGGUAACGGCCCACCAAGGCGACGACGGGUAGCCGGCCUGAGAGGGUGAACGGCCACAUUGGGACUGAGACACGGCCCAGACUCCUACGGGAGGCAGCAGUGGGGAAUAUUGCACAAUGGGCGCAAGCCUGAUGCAGCGACGCCGCGUGAGGGAUGACGGCCUUCGGGUUGUAAACCUCUGUUAGCAGGGAAGAAGAGAGAGUGACGGUACCUGCAGAGAAAGCGCCGGCUAACUACGUG